ACUUCUUUUCCUCUUUCAGGUUCUGCCCUGAUGUUUCCUGGAAUAAUGCUGAGGACUGCCUUUCGGGUAGCCGCCCUAUUCAGUUCACUUCAUCUCGGAAAUACCUGACCCCUGCCUUGGAUCCAGCGGCCCUCCUGAGAGCUGAGGAAGGAGGAAAUCCUAUGUGUCUGCUCCCGGAGCUGCCACAACCCAUCUUCCCACAACUCGGAACUUGGAAAAAGGAACCCAGGACACGACUUUGCUUUUCUUUUGGACCUAGUUGAUACAAGUUAACAGGAUAUGCUUCUGGCCUGUUUCUGGAUUCUAAGGGUAGAACCAGCAUAAAACUAGUCAGUCCAAGUAUUUCUAAAGAUCCACAGACACAGUUCUCCUGGAUUUGGGAAGCCUAGAGAUAUUAGCACAAUAAUUAAGGCCCAAAGGCAGCACAUAAGAGAGGGAAAGCCAUGCGCGUGGAGUCCAGCACAUCACCCAGAAGGCAGAUGUUCUAUCUCCAUUUUACUCAUUAAAACAAACAAAACCACACCUGGAUUGCCUGCAACUUUUAAAAGCCUUUCCACUGCACAGUGAAAGAAAACCACAAACUCCUUGUUUAAUAAGUGGGAUCACGUGCUUUUAACACGAGGAAAAGGUCAAUCUGAAGCAACUGAUAUGGAACUGCCAGAGUAGGAGUUGAAAAUCUUCCUAAACUGCUGGAGGAUACACCUCUGAUAGCUUGAGACAAAUAUCCUCUUGAUCAUUGUUUCACCAUAUUUGUCUUUGCUCAUGGAGAACCAUUUUGAUCCGUGGUUUAGCCUCCCAGGUGAUUGAACAAUAC
rnacentral:lncRNA from 1 species